rnacentral:rRNA from 1 species
CUGGCUCAGGAUGAACGCUGGCGGCGUGCCUAAUACAUGCAAGUCGAACGAGGUAGCAAUACCGAGUGGCGAACGGGUGAGUAACACGUAGGUAACCUGCCCUUAAGCUUGGGAUACCCAGAGGAAACUUUGGCUAAUACCGGAUAACAACAGAGAAGGCAUCUUCUUUGCUUGAAAGGCCCCUUCAAGGGUCACUUAAGGAUGGACCUGCGGCGCAUUAGCUAGUUGGUGAGAUAACAGCCCACCAAGGCGAGGAUGCGUAGCCGAACUGAGAGGUUGAUCGGCCACAUUGGAACCGAGACACGGUCCAAACUCCUACGGGAGGCAGCAGUAAGGAGUUUUCGGCAAUGGGGGAAACCCUGACCGAGCAACGCCGCGUGAGUGAAUGACGGCCCUAUGGGUUGUAAAGCUCUGUUGUAAGGGAAGAAUGACGAGGUGAGGAAAUGCACUUCGUUUGACGGUACCUUACCAGAAAGCCACGGCUAACUACGUGCCAGCCGCGGC